rnacentral:rRNA from 1 species
GAUGAACGCUGGCGGCGUGCCUAAUACAUGCAAGUCGAGCGAACGGACGAGAAGCUUGCUUUUCUGAUGUUAGCGGCGGACGGGUGAGUAACACGUGGAUAACCUACCUAUAAGACUGGGAUAACUUUGGGAAACCGGAGCUAAUACCGGAUAAUAUUUUGAACCGCAUGGUUCAAAAGUGAAAGACGGUCUUGCUGUCACUUAUAGAUGGAUCCGCGCUGCAUUAGCUAGUUGGUAAGGUAACGGCUUACCAAGGCAACGAUGCAUAGCCGACCUGAGAGGGUGAUCGGCCACACUGGAACUGAGACACGGUCCAGACUCCUACGGGAGGCAGCAGUAGGGAAUCUUCCGCAAUGGGCGAAAGCCUGACGGAGCAACGCCGCGUGAGUGAUGAAGGUCUUCGGAUCGUAAAACUCUGUUAUUAGGGAAGAACAUAUGUGUAAGUAACUGUGCACAUCUUGACGGUACCUAAUCAGAAAGCCACGGCUAACUACGUG